UACGAAGGGGACUAGCGUUGUUCGGAAUUACUGGGCGUAAAGCGCACGUAGGCGGAUUUGUUAGUCAGGGGUGAAAUCCCCGGGGCUCAACCUCGGAACUGCCUUUGAUACUGCAAGUCUCGAGUCCGAUAGAGGUGGGGUGGAAUUCCCUAGUGUAGAGGUGAAAUUCGUAGAUAUUAGGAAGAACACCGGUGGCGAAGGCGGCCCACUGGAUCGGUACUGACGCUGAGGUGCGAAAGCGUGGGGAGCAAACAGG
rnacentral:rRNA from 1 species